UAUUCACUUCUACAGGAACCAGAACUGUUUAUGUUCCGUGUUUGCACCUUAAACCUGGAUUAUAUUCCACGAUGUGUACGCUGCCACUGAGGAAGGCUUGACAUUUACUAGUGUAAACAGCAGCAGUCAACACCAACCUGUUGUGUUUCCUGGAGAACCACUGGGGAAAUCAUAUGUUUUCACUGCAGGCUUCUAUUUACAUGGAACACAGUAGAUUCCAGAGUUUUUCCCACCCAUCCGGGGGAGGAGAAGCAGGUUCGGGGGCGUUGUCGGGGUUCGCAGGGAUCAGGUCAUUCGGCCAUGAGACGAGAUUAUCUCUGGGAACCGACAUCCAGUGUUCUGAAGAGUGAUCAGCUGUUUGGUGAAACGCAGCAGGACAGAUGCAGGGAUGGAGGAUUUAUGGAGCUGCCUGUCCCGGUGAAUUAACGCUGUAUUUGUAGCAAGGAACUGCACCUCCUAUCAUCACAAUCUGCACGUUUUUGCACCAAACAUCACUAUAAACAUGCUCUUUCACGCAUAUUUAUAGCUGUACAUUGUAAGUAAACACUCACUUUUCUGUCUUUAACCUGUUGUUUGAAUAAAAAUGUAAUUUUUGUGUCAGAGUAAAGAAAAAGGAGUCAAAUUCAUUGUCCUCAAGUGACCUAAAACCCCCCCGGAAAGAUUUGAAAUUGUCCAAAAUGACAACAAUGAGUAAUUAUUGGCUUUUGAAAAGGGAAAAACAUGCAGAAUUUUCAAAUUAAAUUGGUGUUAUGUCUCUAUAAAUUCCUGUAAGUGUGUAUAUAUAUGAAUGGAUCAAUUUUUCUACUAAAAUACAGUCUUUGGUCGACAUUUCACCAACUUUUGAGGCUCUAACAUCAGUAAAAUUUGAUGUGUGAAAAGUUUGACCAGACAAGGUUCCAGUUUUUAAAUAUUUAGACUUUAAAUUUUUCCUGAAUGACUCAAAAUUGAAUAAAAUAUGUUAAAAACUGUCAAAAAAAUUCCCCAAAAAUAGUCCAAAAUUACUCAAAAUUUGUCCAGUAAAAUAUAAAGAUUGUCAAAUACUCUAAAUAUUUUCAAAAAUGUCUUGAAACUUGGCAAAAGUGACUCCAAGUUGUCCAUAAUGACUUGAAAUCUAUUAAAGAUUACUAUAAUUUGACCAAAAUGUCUUGAAAUGUGUCCAUGUGAAAUGCUGCUGGCUGACUUCAGUUCAGCAUUUAACACUAUCAUCCUCCAGCAGCUGGUCAGCAAACUGAGUCCACUGGGUAUCAGCACCUCCAUGUGCAACUGGCUGCUAGACUUCCUCACCAACAGACCACAGUCGGUGAGAGUGAGAAACACCAUCUCCAGCUCCAUCUCUUUCUCCAUUGGAUCCCCACAGGGAUGUGUUCUGAGCCCACUACCGUUUGCUGCUGAUGCAUGACUGCUGCUCUGCAUCUGCCUCGCACCACAUCGUUAAGUAUGUAGAUACAACAGUAGUGGGUCUCAUUCGGGACAAUAACAAUCUGUCCUACAGAGAGAAGGUGAAGCGGCUGGUGGACUGGUGCAGCGUGAACAAUCUGCUCCUGAACGUCGAGAAGACCAAGGAGUUAGUCAUCGACUUCAGGAGGAAGCAGCCCAGUCAUUCACCUCUCAUCAUUGACAAUAAAGCUGUGGAGGUGGUCAGCAGCACCAAAUUUCUGGGUGAACACAUCAUGGACAGUCUGGACUGGUCAUUACACACAUCAUCUCUGGACAAACGGGCUCAGCAACGUCUGCACUUCCUGCGACGGAUGAAGAGAGCACAGCUGUCCUCUCCCAUCCUGACCACCUUCUACAGAAGCACCAUAGAGAGCUGCUGACCAGCUGCAUCUCCAUCUGGUUUGGCAGCUCCAGGGCCUCAGAUAGGAGGUCGCUGCAGAGGGUGGUGAGGACGACAGAGAAGAUCGUGGGGACCUCUCUUCCAUCCAUCCAGGAUGUUGCACACAAGUGAUGUCUCAGCAGAGCCUGCAACAUUAUCAUAGACUCCACACACCCCCAUCAUGGACUGUUCUCCUGUUUCCCUCUGGGAGGAGGUUCUGCAGCAUCAGAACGAGAACAGCCAGGUUCUGGAACAGUUUCAUCCCCCAAGCCAUCAGACUCUUGAACUCACAAUAAUCCUUCUGGGCAUCCGUUGUCACUACGAAUACAUAACUGCUGCUACUUUUGUGUGUGUGUGUGUG